GAUGAACGCUGGCGGCGUGCCUAAUACAUGCCAGUCGAGCGGACGGACGCGGAGCUUGCUUCUCUGAUGUUAGCGGCGGACGGGUGAGUAACACGUGUAUACCCUACCUAUAAGACUGGGAUAACUUCGGGACACCGGAGCUAAUACCGGAUAAUAUUUUGAACCGUAUGGUUCAAAGGUGAAAGUCGGUCUUGCUGUCACUUAUCGCUGGUUCCGCGCUGCAUGAGCUAGUUGGUACGUUAACGGCUUACCACGGCAACGAUGCAUAGCCGAACUGAGAGGGUGAUCGGCCACACUAGAACUGAGACACGGUCCAGACGACUACGGGAGGCAGCAGUAGGGAAUCUUCCGCAAUGGGCGAAAGCCUGACGGAGCAACGCCGCGUGAGUGAUGAAGGUCUUCGGAUCGUAAAGCUCUGUUAUUAGGGAAGAACAUAUGUGUAAGGAACUGUGCGCAUCUUGACGGUACCUAAUCAGAAAGCCACGGCUAACUACGUG
rnacentral:rRNA from 1 species